UAGCUUUGACAGACCUCAAAGCACCGUUUCUUACCUUCGUAUGGGCUUUUGUUCAUAUGAGACAAAAUUAAUUUAUGAAAUUAAACGACGUUAUAUUACUUAUCAAGGAAUAUUUAUACCAAAUUGCAAAAAAGAUCUAACGUUCUAUCCAACAGGAGGCGAUCAACAACAUUAUUUUUCAAGAUGAAUUUACUAAGUCCAUCAAUGCAAAAUUUUUUAAUGAAACUUUCAUCUCAAGCAGCAGAAUUCUUUGUUGGUGUGCUCAAAGCAUUAAAUGAAGCAGCUUUGCCUGCAAUUAGUGCACUCUUUGGGGGAUUACUUGGUGGACCAACAUGUUUAGCAAUAGGUGGUAUUGUUGGAUCUUGUGCAGCAGCUGCUAUAGGACUGGGAUAUUGUAAACCUUUAGCUGACAUUAUUGAAAAGUUAGCUUUAGCUGCAAAAUAUCUUGUUAAAAACAUACGUAUAGAAGAUCUAAAGCCAUUGCUAAUGUUGUUAUUAAGUUUUCGUUCAACAACAUAUUAAUGUAAACGCCUGACAAUUAUGUUUACUUAUUUUUACAUAAAAUGUGUGAGUCAUUA